GCACUCGCGUGUCGUCGUCGCCAUCUUCCACAGGUCUUCAGAUCAUAUUGAGGCUUCUACCUUGUCUGGCCACUCUGCCAUCGACGUCACCAUGAUGCCAGACAGCAACCUCCUCCUGCUCGAGUCCAGCACCGCGCAUCGGGCGCCGAGUCUCCACUGCACCACGCCGCCGAGAUCCGCCGUCAUCAAUGUGCAGGAUGAAGCACCGCUCCACCAAAAAACCGCCCACUGGUCCCUCAAACCCGUGUACGCCUCCAAGAAUGACGCCCCCAAGGAGGAAACGACACCAACGCACCGCCGUCAUCUGAUCUAAUGAUCUAGGGUUUCCCCCGGAGGUAGCGGAUAGAGGUCUGGAGCUUCUCCACGGCGAGGCCUUCAAGAAGGUAAUGACACGAGAAAGUGUCGCCAACACCGGUCUUGGCAUCAAGCCAAGAAUUAGGUUUUCACCCGGAUCCGCUGAAGGAACCGCCAUCCAGCAUCGUGUGCACGGGUCGCCGCCGAUCUGAGCCGCCGCACAUUGAGGUCGCACUGGCCAGAUCAGAUCUGUCCGGAGGGCAACCCACACAUGGCGCCGACCGAACCCAGGCCCUCCAUGCCGCCAAGGGCCAGAGGCGCCGGGGCCUCCACCACGCGCAGCCGCCCUGCCACCCACGCGGCCCAGGACGGCCAGCACCGCCACAUCCCGUCGACGGUGCGCGCCCACCAGAUCCGAGCAGAACGCCCCGAUCCGCCGUCAAAACGGUCAGCCGCCGCUCCUCCACCGCGAGGAAGAGAGGAGGGGACCGCCGCUCCCUGGGGCCGCCGCCCUAGCAUCCAGCGCCACUGCGCCAUAGAAGAGGCCAGAGGGCCAGAUCCAUGCCGGCGCGCAGCUCCGCGUCGCAUGGCGCGCCGUCCAGGGCUGACCUCCAUGCGUGACAGGAGAGGAAAGGCCCGCCGCCGCCGGCAACCGCACGGGCUUUGCCCGGCGGGGACGCUCGACGGCGGCGAGGGGGAGGGAGCAGGAGGGGGGUGGCGGUGGCGGCGGGGUUAGGUCACCCGAGCCGCCCCCCUGAGAGCGACGCGGGUGCGAGUCACCAGACCCAAGACUGUUCAUGGUGUUAGAGGGCUCAGUGGUAGCUCCGCUUGCCGAUGGUAUAUUCAUGAGGAUAUACCCGAUAUCAAUUCCUUCAGUGCUAGCAUGGGAGACUGAGUUCACUCCUCUCACAGUUUAUGCUCCCUCAGGGCAAAAUGCCAUUUAACCCUCUGUGCAUCCAGAUCCAAUUGUUCAACCGUGCUUCAGCUGGCUCAACUUGGUCCUUUUGACGAAAUGAACAAGUGGUUCCACUGUACUGCUGUUGUUGACAGAAUUAUGCCUGAUAAGCGUUGGUGGUUUGCUUCGUGUGGCGCAUGCCGCAAAUCCGCUAGGUUCCUCGGUGACCGGUGCCAAUGCUCAGACAUUAGCUGCACUUCUGGUGGUGCAGACCUAACAUACUGUGUUGGUGUCAUAGCGACCGAUGGCACGACGGAGGCUGAGUUUGUCCUCUUUGACAAAGUUGCGACAGGGGCCAGGGAAAUCUCUUGUGGCCUUGCUGUGGCAGAGAUACCCUGGCCAAGCUACGCUUGAGGACGCGGCACGUUUGGCUGCGCUUGACAUGACUAUCCGACCAGAUUCGAUCAGCUUGUUGGACAGAAGUCUAAGCUCCUGGUUUCCAUAAGAAGAGUCUUUUUUUUUCAAAAUUGGAGAAUUUGUCUUUCCAGAUAAGCAUGAUAGAAGAGACUUAUAAUCCUGAGCUACCGUCAUCUGUUUUUGGUCUCGCUUCAGCCUCCGAUAAAUCAUCCUCAUCCAGUCAGGUUUUGGAGCUGGGUGCCCCUUAUGUGGGUAAUGCUGUGUCGACCGUAAUGAGCCCACCUUGUGGCCUGAGUCUCCAUGAUGGACAUACCUUACCUGCUAGCGGCCAGUCACCCACAAUUCAGCCUCACACGCUGACUUUCCACGGUACCGGCUUGCCCUUCACCUCCAGUGGCAGGCAAGUCAACUGCUCAUAAAUGUGGUCCAAGGCGUUCUCACGGUUCAUGCUAUUGUGAGCAGCAUUUCCUCUUCGCAAGAAACGUUCACAACCCUACUGGUUCAUGCUAUUAAUUGGACAAUCAUGAUACACUCGGUUAAAACCUUGUGAUGGUGCCCCAACUGAUCAUGUUUUCACACCUAUGAUUCAGACAGCAUUUGAACUUGCAGGUAUUUGUGGAAAUGUUUCUCCAGUUAUUGGCAGGGGAGCUCGUGAGGCCAUCAACUAAGCUGGGUGCUUUAUGGCGAGCUUGAUCAUGGACUGACAUGUGAUCAAAAUAUUUAAUUCUCUAUCAGAAAGAAGAGCAGAUUAUAGCGGAAGAGUUUGGUGGAGAAGAAGAGCAAGGUGAUUUAUCUCUCUUGUGAACACAGUCAAGUUUAAUCUGAGCAAUUGGUUAAUUGGUGCCUAUUUUUAGUAACUUAAUAUACCUUCUGUAUAGAAAGCACAGAAAAUGUCACGGGCUGUAUUCAGGCUGUUAUGUGCUAUUCAUGAUCUGAGAAAUAUUUCAUGUAGUUUUCGAGGUUAAGUGGGCCCGCCUUGUGUUUGAUAGUCCAUUCUUGGUUGGUGAAUACUAGAGGCUGGGGCGCCCCUCGGGGGGGCUCCUUGCCGGUUAGGUGCAUUCCAAUCACCACGCAUGAUUCAUAUUAUGCGAUUCGGCUCUGUCCACCUAUCAUCCAGUCAGUAUCUACAAGGUCUUUUACUAUUUUUUAGGUAAUUCAGAGCAAAAAUGUACGGGAAGUGACACUGCUUAUGUGCAAGGUACACAAUAACCCAUAUCAUGUUGGUAUGAAGAAGACA